rnacentral:rRNA from 1 species
CAGUCGCCGCGGGAAUACGUAGGUGGUAAGCGUUGUCCGGAAUUAUUGGGCGUAAAGGGCUCGCAGGCGGUUUCUUAAGUCUGAUGUGAAAGCCCCCGGCUCAACCGGGGAGGGUCAUUGGAAACUGGGAAACUUGAGUGCAGAAGAGGAGAGUGGAAUUCACGUGUAGCGGUGAAAUGCGUAGAGAUGUGGAGGAACACCAGUGGCGAAGGCGACUCUCUGGUCUGUAACUGACGCUGAGGAGCGAAAGCGUGGGGAGCGAACAGGAUUAGAUACCCCUGUAGUCCCUGUCUCUUAUACA